rnacentral:lncRNA from 1 species
CCAACACAUGAUACGAGCAGAGUUAAAGUAAGCAUAAGAGGACGGGGAAAUUUGUACUUCACUAGAAAAUGUUCAGAAACAAAUCCAGAGAAAACCCGUCCCAGGUAAUUCCAAAUGCUCACCAAGGACACAAAGGUACUUAUACUUUUCUUAGGAUAUCUGAGAGAGGAUCCUAUCUGACCCAAGUUGUCUAUUGCAGUCAACGUGCCCCCAACACCACAUAUGCAAGUCAUGAAAAGUAUCAACAUGUCGAUGCUGAAUAGUGCUUGGAGUAUUGUAUAGUCCUCGCCUCUUUCCGGUGGACUAAACACAUUUUCGCACCACUUGGUGUCGCUGGAAACUGCAGU